rnacentral:rRNA from 1 species
GCGUGCCAGCCGCCGCGGUAAUACGGAGGAUGCGAGCGUUAUCCGGAAUCAUUGGGUUUAAAGGGUCCGUAGGCGGGCUGAUAAGUCAGAGGUGAAAGCGCUUAGCUCAACUAAGCAACUGCCUUUGAAACUGUCAGUCUUGAAUGAUUGUGAAGUAGUUGGAAUGUGUAGUGUAGCGGUGAAAUGCUUAGAUAUUACACAGAACACCGAUAGCGAAGGCAUAUUACUAACAAUUUAUUGACGCUGAUGGACGAAAGCGUGGGGAGCGAACAGGAUUAGAUACCCUGGUAGUCCACGCUGUAAACGAUGGAUACUAGCUGUUUGGAGCAAUCUGAGUGGCUAAGCGAAAGUGAUAAGUAUCCCACCUGGGGAGUACGCACGCAAGUGUGAAACUCAAAGAAAUUGACGG